UGAUAGGUAAUUAGUUACCAAAUGCUUGUGAUUUAGGGGUUGUUAAAGGUUUCAUUUUGGCAAUAUAAUCUCUUUGAUUUGGUUUCAAUUUGAGCUCUUCUUUCUGGGUUUCAGGGCACGCGAGUUAUUUUAUUAUUUGAAAGUUGGGCAAGUUGAUUAUGGAGAAGAUCACAGCAAGGCUUAUGGACACUCGCAAUUUGGACGGACUUAUGAACAAGGGCAUUAUCCUGAAUGGGAUGAGGAUCACCCUAUUCACUUUGUUGGGCAUUCUGCUGGAGCGCAGGUUGUUCGGGUGUUGCAGCAAAUGCUUGCUGAUAAGGCAUUUAAUGGGUACGAGAACACUUCUGAUAAAUGGGUGUUAAGCAUUACAUCCCUUUCUGGAGCAUUCAAUGGGACUAUAAGGACCUAUUUAGAUGGGAUGCAGUGAGUGUUCUUUCCAAACUUGUUCUGCUAUUUGAAACUUCACUCUAUAAAUGGUUUCUAGAUAUUGGACUCAAUAAUGAUCGUAAUUUGUAUUUUAUCUUCAAGUUUUUUUCUUUGGCAGCCGGUAUGAAAAUA